AUGGCAUAAGCCAGCUUGACUGCGAGCGUGACGGCGCGAGCAGGUGCGAAAGCAGGUCAUAGUGAUCCGGUGGUUCUGAAUGGAAGGGCCAUCGCUCAACGGAUAAAAGGUACUCCGGGGAUAACAGGCUGAUACCGCCCAAGAGUUCAUAUCGACGGCGGUGUUUGGCACCUCGAUGUCGGCUCAUCACAUCCUGGGGCUGAAGUAGGUCCCAAGGGUAUGGCUGUUCGCCAUUUAAAGUGGUACGCGAGCUGGGUUUAGAACGUCGUGAGACAGUUCGGUCCCUAUCUGCCGUGGGCGCUGGAGAACUGAGGGGGGCUGCUCCUAGUACGAGAGGACCGGAGUGGACGCAUCACUGGUGUUCGGGUUGUCAUGCCAAUGGCACUGCCCGGUAGCUAAAUGCGGAAGAGAUAAGUGCUGAAAGCAUCUAAGCACGAAACUUGCCCCGAG
rnacentral:rRNA from 1 species